CUGCCAACUAAUUACAUGUCAAACAUAUGAAGAAGCCAGACGAGGAGAACACAAGUACAACACCACCAUGUGUGCAACCGCUGAAAUUGAGUCAGAGGAGGAAAAAGAAGAAGAACGGGAGAAAAGGAAAACAAAGCCAAAUCCACUGUAUAUGGAUUCUGACUCUGAUGAGCCAUCUGGCGAAGUGAAGAAACCACGGGUUUUAUACCCGCCUAAUGUCAGAGUUCCAGAAUCCUGGUCACAACUGGCAAGAAAUGAUAUGUUUGCAGGUGCCAGUGCAUCAAAUGCAUCAGCACAUGAACAAUUUCACCAUGAAAUGAUGGCAGCAUCCGCCGGCGGCGCUGGGCCGUACCACCAGCUGCAGGUCCCACAGAAGGAGGGCGGCGCUGGGCCGUACCACCAGCUGCAGGUCCCACAGAAGGAGGGCGGCGCUGGGCCGGCGCUGGGCCGUACCACCAGCUGCAGGUCCCACAGAAGGAGGGCGGCGCUGGGCCGUACCACCAGCUGCAGGUCCCACAGAGAGAGGGUGCCAGUAUAUCACCGUAUGGGACCAUGCACACCCCAUUUCGUGCCCCACAAGGUGAAAACGGGCAGCUUUUGAAAG